UAGAUCGAAGAAUUACAAGUCUCUGUGUAACUGCUGCAAAUUAAGAAGAUUGUCGAAAAUGCACCAACCUCCAGGCCCUCCGCCACCGCAUGACCACGGACCACCGCACCACGGGCCACCUCACGAUGGUCCGCCACCACCUGGCGGCCCUCCAGGUCCCGGCCCUCACGGCCAUGGACCUCCAGGCGGUCCAGGUCCCCAUGGACCUCCAGGCGGUCCGGGAGGACCAGGGCAUCACGGCCACGGGUGUGGAGGUGGACCGGGUGGUCGCUGCUAAGUGCUAACUAAUGAUCUUGACCAAGAACUUUCUGGUGUACUACUUGUGGUUUAAUAUGUGCUAAUCAUGUUUUCUAGUUUAUUAGUUUACUAAUCAUGUUCAAGAUCACCACCAGACUAGCUCAGCUCAGCUGGAGAGGAUCAUGUAUCUGUCCGUAAUGGUACUAUGUUGAAUAUGCUGCGUAUUAUGAUAUCAAUAAAAUGCAUCUCCAUAUUAUAAUUAUACAUCUUUGAUCAUUCUUAAUUAAUUGAUUGGAUUAUAUUGAUAGGUAAAAAUUACUAGAAACAAUUUUGACGCGCUAAGAAUAUCCGCUCGUAUUUGAGGAGAGAAAUUUACACGCAAUCAAUAAUAAGAAGAUGGUUUUUUAAUCCUAAGAUGCGUCAUUAUAUAUUUUAACUUACUCACGUAACAUUGCGUAAAUGGUUUGAUAUAACGUCAAUUUCGCAGCUUAGUGGCAUGACAUGUAAGUUCUUUUCAUAUUACUCAAAGUUCAACUCCAAUUUCGGUUUCGAACCGCUUCUAUAGAAAGCUUUUUUUUUUUUUAAAUUUUAUUUGAACAAACCUUAUUAUCUAUAAUAAAGGGUAGGAGAAUGAGUUAAGUCUCACAAUCGACUAGCAAUAAUGUGGUUCAAAUUCGCAUUUGAUGAGAAUCGAACCUAAGAUCUCUAUUUACAAGUAAAGAAUAACACCACUAAACUGUAAUAUUAAGUGAUUGCUUCUAUUGAAAGCAUUAACCUUUAACAAACACUUAUACGAUCCAUAAACACUUUUAAGUUUUUAUGACCAACCAAAUUGGUUUCGCAUAAAUAGCCAUUCGGGCGCCCUAAUUUUAAUAUUUUUUAAUUAACAAGAAAAAAAAAAGUUAUGUACAUUCAUAGCUAUU
rnacentral:lncRNA from 1 species